GUGGGGAAUUUUGGACAAUGGGCGAAAGCCUGAUCCAGCAAUGCCGCGUGUGUGAAGAAGGCCUUCGGGUUGUAAAGCACUUUUGUCCGGAAAGAAAUCCUUUGGGUUAAUACCUCGGAGGGAUGACGGUACCGGAAGAAUAAGGACCGGCUAACUACGUGCCAGCAGCCGCGGUAAUACGUAGGGUCCGAGCGUUAAUCGGAAUUACUGGGCGUAAAGCGUGCGCAGGCGGUUUUGUAAGACAGAUGUGAAAUCCCCGGGCUUAACCUGGGAAUUGCAUUUGUGACUGCAAGGCUAGAGUGUGUCAGAGGGGGGUAGAAUUCCACGUGUAGCAGUGAAAUGCGUAGAGAUGUGGAGGAAUACCGAUGGCGAAGGCAGCCCCCUGUGAUAACACUGACGCUCAUGCACGAAAGCGUGGGGAGCAAACAGGAUUAGAAACCCUAGUAGUCC
rnacentral:rRNA from 1 species